UAGGGAUUUAGAAGAAAAAAAUUAUAUUAUUUAAUUUUGGUGAGGAAAAAGUCAAAAAGUCAACGGAAAUGGGGUCGAAAAGUCCUGAUUCCGACAACGAUCCGCGGUACGCUUCCGUCACGGACGAGAGGAAGAGGAAGAGAAUGAUCUCCAACAGAGAGUCCGCUCGGAGAUCAAGGAUGAGGAAGCAGAAGCAGCUCGGCGAUCUAAUCAACGAGGUCACUGUGCUCAAGAACGAUAACGCUAAGAUCACUGAGCAGGUUGAUGCGGCGACGAGGAGGUACGUGGAGAUGGAGUCCAAGAACGAUGUCUUGAGAGCGCAAGAGGUGGAGCUGACGGAGAGGCUGAGGUCGUUGAACUCUGUGCUGGAGAUGGUUGAGGAGAUUAGUGGUCAGGCUUUGGAUAUUCCUGAGAUUCAGAACCCUUGGCAGAUUCCUUGUCCGAUCAUGCAAACCAAUCAUGGCUUCUGCUGAUAUGUUUGAAUGCAUUGUCUUGUCCGUUCGAGUUUUGUAACAACUAGAGUCAUUCGUGUGUGUCGUCUUUAUACAACUUCAGUCUCUUGUUUUUCAGUUAUUUCAGUUUGUGUGGUCUUGCGGUUGUCUUUUAUUCUUGUGUCGGCUUAUUACAUAAGAUAAGGUUGUCAUGUAUUUGUGUUUCUUAAUGAAUUCAAGCUUUGUGUUGUUUUUCUUA